rnacentral:rRNA from 1 species
GAUGAACGCUAGCUACAGGCUUAACACAUGCAAGUCGAGGGGCAGCAUGAACUUAGCUUGCUAAGUUUGAUGGCGACCGGCGCACGGGUGAGUAACACGUAUCCAACCUGCCGAUGACUCGGGGAUAGCCUUUCGAAAGAAAGAUUAAUACCCGAUGGCAUAGUUCUUCCGCAUGGUGGAACUAUUAAAGGUAUUCCGGUAGACGAUGGGGAUGCGUUCCAUUAGAUAGUAGGCGGGGUAACGGCCCACCUAGUCUUCGAUGGAUAGGGGUUCUGAGAGGAAGGUCCCCCACAUUGGAACUGAGACACGGUCCAA